UCUCAGUUAUCACACUAUUUUUAUUAGUGUUACAUCAAAAACCAAAACCACACCAACAUUUGGAUUUGAAUUAGGACCCCCAUACACCUCCAUAUUUUUUAAUAGAAAAAGCAUGAGUCUCAGCACAAAUCAAAUUGCAACUCUUGGAGGUACACCCAGCCCUAGCCACGUUAUCCACCAACACAGAAAUGAGAUUGUAAGGGUUUCACUAGCUUACAAGAUUCAUUAGCUCUGUAGAGAUUUUUGAGAUUAUAGCCAGGCUUUGCCAAACAUGCCAUUUUACGGCUGGAGCUUGGAGAGACCAAGAAUUGCCGCUGGGAGAUAAACAACUGUUCAUGAGAUACGUUGUCACAUGCAAAAGACGACAGCGUGAAGUUUGAUCCUCAUCUGACAAGGUAUUCUUUUUUGUCUGCAGUAUUGCAAAACCUGUGCCACUCUAUAGUAUAAGUGAAAAUGCCAACACCAUGCAGAAUGAGAUUUUUGGGCAACCAUGGAGGACUGUAAACUCCUCUUUUGUUUUAUAUUCUAUUUAGAUGCUCAACAGGAGAAGUUGCCUCAGGCACCAUGGUGGAAAACUAAGGACCGCAAGUAUUCCUGAGACUUUGGAAAACUAUAGUCAAAUAGCAGACUCCGCAGCUACAGAGCAGUCUGUUAGCACUUCAUCCAAGUAAGCCACUACAAAAUAUACCAAUAAUAUAAAAUAAGUAAAACAGUAAGAAA